UGUUCUUCGUCGUUUCGUCUCCUCUUCAACUGAAAGUCGAUGACUCUCUCAAGCGCCUAUUGCGAUGACUUCCAUCAUUAUUUUACAUCCCAAAACGACGUCUCUCUUCACAUCUCAAGCUUCGCUCUAUAAAUAAGAUUAUGAUUCCUCUCUUCUCACCAACUCCGCAUACACGGCCAUGAACGAAUACGAAGUUGAUUUUAAAGUUCAUCAACUCCUGUGACGGAACACGCAAGAUGAGGCCUCUCUCCCUCUGAAUUUCUUUAUAACUUUACAUUCUCUUCGGUCCCAGAUAAGCAGGAAUUUCAAUAUCGAUUUUAAUUUACGAACUCGGGCUCAAAGGUAACGAAGUUGAAAUUAAUAUGAGAGGUUUAAGAACUUCAUGAGCAAUUUGUUUACCCAUCUCAUUUAUGUCGGAGGCGGCGAUUCUAGGGUUCCUGCAUAACAACGAACCAAUCUUAGAUUCCGGUCAAUUCGCAGCGGAGCACAAUCUCGACCACGACGAAGUCAAAAAUGCCAUCAAGAGCUUACAAGGUUUCCUCUACAUCGAAGCUAAGGAGCUCAAACGGGAGACAUUGGUUUUGACUGAUGGCGGCAAGAAAUAUGCGGCGGAAGGGUCGCCGGAGAUUCAUUUUUUCUCGGCUAUUCCUGAGGAAGGUAGCAUAUCCAAAGAUGAUCGUGAGAAAAAGCUAGAUCCUUCUGUUUUCAAAAUUGGAAGCACACAAGCUGCUAAAAAGAGGUGGGUUGCAAUGGGAAAGCAAGUCUCUAGGAAGGUUCAACAUGUUGAAGAUAAAGUGAAGGAGUCUCUUCUACAAAUACAACAAGGACUGGUUUCUUUAUUCAGAACUAUUAUGUAGAAAUCUAAUCCAGCUUUUUAUAAUUUAUGAGACUAAGUUGGUCUUUCUUACUUUCAGGAACUUGACAAAGAAAGUCUCAACUCUCUCAAAACCAGGAAACUCUUAGUAACACAGUCACUACCUGCGGGGAUGGAUGGGAUAUUCUGAUGUUGAGAAAGGUCCUAAUUAUGCUCCCAAAAGGAAGAUUAUCGCUACUGACUUGACUCGAGAAAAUUUACACAACUGGAAAGAGUUGGAAUUCAAGGAGUAUAACUUCAAUGCUAAGGGACAACCUCUUGAUGCUGGCCAUCUCCAUCCCCUUCUUAAGGUCUCAGCCUCUCUGUCCUUUUGCCCAUCAGAUCAACAAAGUUUCAUGUCUGAACUUGAUUCCCAGGUCCCUACUGCCUUCGACCCGUUUGCUGAUGCGAAUGCUGAGGACUCAGGUGUGGGAACAAAGGAGUACGUCCACAUCCGUGUGCAGCAGCGCAAUGGUAGGAAAAGCUUGACAACAGUACAAGGGUUGAAGAAAGAGUAUAUUUACGGCAAUAUACUUAAGGACCUCAAGAAAGAGUUUUGUUGCAACGGUACAUUGGUUCAUGACUCUGAACUCGGACAGGUUCAUGUUUUUUUUACAGCAAGAUACUUAAUUACCUUAAGAAAGAGUUUUGUUGCAACGGGGUUCCCCACUUACGUAGAUCAUUCCACUGGGUCCGGUUAGGCAGCGGUCCACUUCACCCGGGUGGGCUUUACCUUGGCUGGGGAUAAGGCCCAACACCCAGUACCGCAUUUGAUGACAGGAUGGGCAGUUCUCCCCCGCCUGGCGUCGAACCCGGGAGCAUGACAAUUGGCCCCCAAGGCCCUUACCAAACGAGCUACCACAUCCCGUCAAGUCUUUGAAUCUUUCCAAGGACUUCUUUGUUUAUUUACACCUCUUGUACUAAUCCGUUUUGCUAACCAAAAUUCUUACGAGCUUGAAUCUGAGAAAUCCAUAGCGUCCCCACUUGGCUGAACUAUCUGAAUGGUCAGGCCAGUGUGUCGGGCAAAGUGUUGAUAGCAUCCAAGGAAGAGAAGAAUGUAAUAGAGUGCAUUGAUGUUGUGUUUCUGAUCCAAGAACAUAAAGAUGCCCCUUAUUGACAAUUAAGAUUAAUAAAGAUUUGAUUUUGUGGAACUUUCUGUUAUAAGUUAUUGUUGUUUUGGUAGUAUGAUAUUGCCAUUUUUGUCUUUGCUAUAUUUGGUAGAUAUUUCAAGCUAAGUCGCAAGCUUUUAUGUAAAAGGCAGUUACACUCGUGCAAGGACAGACGUCUGGUAUGUAAUUCUUACAUGCUUUUUUGUAUGUUACAAUGGUUAUUUGGGCAUUUUCCAUUA